AAGACUAUAGACCUGCGGAGUACCUGCGGAAGGAUCAUUACAGGACUCGCAAGACUCCUACAACCCUGUGAACUUAACUAUAAGCACGUUGCUUCGGCGGGUGUCUCGGCGAGGGUUCUCCCUCCCCGGGGCGCUAAGCCCGCCGGCAGCCUACUAUACUCUGUCUCUUUGCGUUGGCAUCUCGAGUACAAACAAACAAGUUAAAACUUUCAACAACGGAUCUCUAGAUCGGAAGAGCAC
rnacentral:misc_RNA from 1 species